UACGAAGGGGGCUAGCGUUGCUCGGAAUCACUGGGCGUAAAGGGUGCGUAGGCGGGUCUUUUAAGUCAGGGGUGAAAUCCUGGAGCUCAACUCCAGAACUGCCUUUGAUACUGAGGAUCUUGAGUUCGGGAGAGGUGAGUGGAACUGCGAGUGUAGAGGGUGAAAUUCGUAGAUAUUCGCAAGAACACCAGUGGCGAAGGCGGCUC
rnacentral:rRNA from 1 species